rnacentral:lncRNA from 1 species
GGUCUUGCAAUAUAUGAUACAAUGCAAUACAUUUGAUCUCUGAUCAAUACAACAUGCAUGCUUUAAGCUGCAUCAAUGUGUUCUCUCCUCUUAGCUGCUGGUGCAAAGGAUGAGAAGCGGUCUCUCCCUAAUGCAACAAUGAUGGUUCAUCAACCUUUGGGUGGGUCAAGUGGACAGGCUAAAGAUAUGACCAUUCACACCAAUCAUAUUAUUUGUGUUUGGGAUGCACCGAGUGUGUUGUAAUCAAAGCAUACCGGAUAGUAAUUCAGAAGAACACAUGGAUCGGGAUGUUUUUAUGACCCCAGAAGAGGCUAAGAAUUUCGGUUGAUUGGUGAAGUAAUAUAUCAGAGGCCGAAGGCUCUAGUCACUGAUGGUGCUGGGAAUGAAGGCAAAGAUAAAUGUUGAAAUCAGGAUACGAAGGUAAGAAAUAUCGCCCUCUCCCUCUUUCACUCUCAAUCUUUGAUGCCAUAUACAUAUAUACUUCCCUCUGUUUCAAAAUAUGAGAAAGCUUGCGUUUUGUAAGUUCUUUAUACUUUAUGAAAGGCAAGUAAUCUUGUAUUUUGGAACGGAAGUACAUUCUCUGCCUUGUUGUUUGCGCGGCGGAUUGAAAUCUGCAGUUUCGAUAUUUUUUGAAUCAUGUAUUGAUGACUGUAUUACAAUAAUUGUUGGUGUGUUGCAUUUGAUGGAAGUUUUGUUUAUGAUUGUGCCUCUAAUUGGCCCAACAGACGUAAAAGUUUUUUACUUUCUCUUCUUCAAAUUUAUACUCUCUCCCUUAAAAAGUUUUUGCUCCCUAUCUUUACAAAUUCUUCACUUUCUCACUGUCAAAAGUUCUUUUUCUCUUGCGAAAUUUUUAACUUCCACUCUUUCAUAAGAUUUUACUUUUUUUUUAUCUCAAAAUUAUUUAAUUCCAAUCUCUAAAAUUUGCACUCUCUCCUUAAAAAGUUAUUAUUUCCUAUCUUUACAAAAUUUUCACUUCCUCUCCCUCGAAUGUUUUUACUUCAUAUAUUUCGAAAUUUUAAACUCUCAAAAGUUUUUACUUGUUAUCUCAAAAUUUUUUAGUUUCAGUCUCAAAAGUUCACAACUUUCUCCCUCAAAAGUUUUAAUUCUCUCCCUCAAAAGUUCCUAUGUUUUCAUUGAUUUUUGCUGCAACUAGUCUAAAAUGAUCAUAUUAUUCUUUGCAGGUUUUUCAAUUUAGUGAUGCUGACUUUAGCUCAUAUUAUGAACUUGAAACAAAUAAAGAUUUAGAUAACUGUCCUUUUGUUGUUACUUUUGAACUUUGUUGAGGACCAUAUGAGGCAUGUUAGUUAGGAUUUGGGAUAUAACGUUGCAAUAGUUCUCUUCCAUGCUUUAUGAUUUGUGCUCUUUCGUAUAGGUCUUGCAAUAUAUGAUACAAUGCAAUACAUUUGAUCUCUGAUCAAUACAACAUGCAUGCUUUAAGCUGCAUCAAUGUGUUCUCUCCUCUUAGCUGCUGGUGCAAAGGAUGAGAAGCGGUCUCUCCCUAAUGCAACAAUGAUGGUUCAUCAACCUUUGGGUGGGUCAAGUGGACAGGCUAAAGAUAUGACCAUUCACACCAAUCAUAUUAUUUGUAUUUGGGAUGCACCGAAUGUGUUGUAAUCAAAGCAUACCGGAUAGUAAUUCAGAAGAACACAUGGAUCGGGAUGUUUUUAUGACCCCAGAAGAGGCUAAGAAUUUCGGUUGAUUGGUGAAGUAAUAUGUCAGAGGCCGAAGGCUCUAGUCACUGAUGGUGCUGGGAAUGAAGGCAAAGAUAAAUGUUGAAAUCAGGAUACGAAGGUAAGAAAUAUCGCCCUCUCCCUCUUUCACUCUCAAUCUUUGAUGCCAUAUACAUAUAU